rnacentral:rRNA from 1 species
GCCUACCAUGCAAGUCGAGCGGUAACAGAUCCAGCUUGCUGGAUGCUGACGAGCGGCGGACGGGUGAGUAAUGCAUAGGAAUCUGCCCGAUAGUGGGGGAUAACCUGGGGAAACCCAGGCUAAUACCGCAUACGUCCUACGGGAGAAAGGGGGCUCCGGCUCCCGCUAUGGGAUGAGCCUAUGUCGGAUUAGCUAGUUGGUGAGGUAACGGCUCACCAAGGCCACGAUCCGUAGCUGGUCUGAGAGGAUGAUCAGCCACAUCGGGACUGAGACACGGCCCGAACUCCUACGGGAGGCAGCAGUGGGGAAUAUUGGACAAUGGGGGAAACCCUGAUCCAGCCAUGCCGCGUGUGUGAAGAAGGCCCUCGGGUUGUAAAGCACUUUCAGCGAGGAAGAACGCCUAGCGGUUAAUACCCGCUAGGAAAGACAUCACUCGCAGAAGAAGCACCGGCUAACUCCGUGCCAGCAGCCGCGGUAAUACGGAGGGUGCAAGCGUUAAUCGGAAUUACUGGGCGUAAAGCGCGCGUAGGUGGCUUGAUAAGCCGGUUGUGAAAGCCCCGGGCUCAACCUGGGAACGGCAUCCGGAACUGUCAAGCUAGAGUGCAGGAGAGGAAGGUAGAAUUCCCGGUGUAGCGGUGAAAUGCGUAGAGAUCGGGAGGAAUACCAGUGGCGAAGGCGGCCUUCUGGACUGACACUGACACUGAGGUGCGAAAGCGUGGGUAGCAAACAGGAUUAGAUACCCUGGUAGUCCACGCCGUAAACGAUGUCGACCAGCCGUUGGGUGCCUAGCGCACUUUGUGGCGAAGUUAACGCGAUAAGUCGACCGCCUGGGGAGUACGGCCGCAAGGUUAAAACUCAAAUGAAUUGACGGGGGCCCGCACAAGCGGUGGAGCAUGUGGUUUAAUUCGAUGCAACGCGAAGAACCUUACCUACUCUUGACAUCCUGCGAAUUUGGUAGAGAUACCUUAGUGCUUCGGGAACGCAGAGACAGGUGCUGCAUGGCUGUCGUCAGCUCGUGUUGUGAAAUGUUGGGUUAAGUCCCGUAACGAGCGCAACUCUGUCU